rnacentral:rRNA from 1 species
GGGGAAUAUUGGGCAAUGGCCGAAAGGCUGACCCAGCGACGCCGCGUGUGGGAGGAAGCCCUUCGGGGUGUAAACCACUGUCAGGAGGGACGAAAGAGCUCAUGGUGAAUAAUCAUGGGCAGUGACGGUACCUUCCAAGGAAGCACCGGCUAACUCUGUGCCAGCAGCCGCGGUAAUACAGAGGGUGCAAGCGUUGUUCGGAAUUACUGGGCGUAAAGCGCGCGCAGGCGGGUCCUGUAAGUCGGAAGUGAAAUUUCGGAGCUCAACUCCGAAGCUGCUUCUGAUACUGCGGAUCUGGAGACCGGUAGAGGCUGGUAGAAUUACAGGUGUAGCGGUGGAAUGCGUAGAUAUCUGUAAGAAUACCCGUGGCGAAGGCGGCCAGCUGGGCCGGGUCUGACGCUGAGGCGCGAAAGCGUGGGGAGCAAA